AUGUGACCUCAAAUCAGGUAGGACUACCCGCUGAACUUAAGCAUAUCAAUAAGCGGAGGAAAAGAAACUAACAAGGAUUCCCCUAGUAACUGCGAGUGAAGCGGGAAAAGCUCAAAUUUAAAAUCUGGCAGUCAUUUGGCUGUCCGAGUUGUAAUCUAGAGAAGUGUUAUCCGCGCUGGACCGU
rnacentral:rRNA from 1 species